rnacentral:lncRNA from 13 species
GCCUAUUGUUCCCACCUUUAUGUCCAUAUGUACCCAAUGUUUAGCUUUCACCUAGCAGUGAGAAUAUUGGGCAUUUGAUGCUUUAUUCCUGUGUUAAUUCAUUUAGGAUAAUGGCCUCCAGCUGCAUACAUGUUUCUGCAAGGGGCAUGGAAUACUACAUAACCAUUAUACCAUGGAAUACUACACAGCCAUAAAGAAGGUCUUUUGCCAAUGGCUUAAAACUGCAAGGACAUGGAUGAAUCUGGAGAACGUCAUCCUCAGCAAACUGACACAAGAACAGAAAAUGAAACACCGCAUAUUCUCACUCAUAGGCGGGUGAUGAAAAAUGAGAACACAUGGACACAGAAAGGGGAGUACUAAACACUGGGGUCUAUUAGGGGGAAAAGGGGAGGGCCAGUGGGAGGGGGAGUUGGGGAGGGAUAGCCUGGGGA